GGGCUUCCUCUGAACACUAAAAAGGAGGAUUUCAAUGGAAAUGAGAGUUUUGAACACAGCAUCAAGGCAGAGGUUUGGCUGAGCAGAACAUACCACUCAUUGAGAUGCACAAAGAGCGUCAAUCCUUCAGACUUUCCUGCAGCGAUUUCCACAAUAAAGGUUCAAAUAGGUACUUGAAGGAAAGACUGGAUAUAUUUACCCAGAGGUAUCCUCUCAUAAGGAAAUGGUGGGCCUGUUACCUUCUCCAGAGGACAGGACAGAGGACACCAAAAGGAAGCUGUGUGUGAAUGAGAGACACUGGUCCAGGAAUAAACAGGACUCCCUUCAUAGGCAGUCGGUGCCAAUGCUUAUCCAGCAGUAGAGUGAUGUUGACACUGGUUCCUGAAAGCACAUCACACCGGCGUUUGGCUCCCUGUCCUGGAUCUCCUCUGAGUACAAAGUUAGAUGCAAGGUUUUGACACCUGAUCCAUACCUGGGAAGUCACUUCUGCAAGUGAUUAAACUAACUGUCAACCCCACCACAAUGCAAAUUCAUUUCAGUGUACCUUUCCUACCACCACCCACUGAAAGAGCAUGGAUGGAAACAGACUUACCCUUUUAGAAUCUAUGGAGUGCUCAGACACAUAGGAGCUGACUCUGUGGGUGCUCUGGGGCUGGAGCACACAUGGAAAAAAAAUAUAGUGGGUACUCAGC